CCUCCCGAUGGAAAAUUUCCAGCGUCCCCACCUCUCUCUCUCUCUCUCCAUUCUCUCUCCCCGUGAACUACUCCCCGGAAACUAUUCCACCGGGCCACCCUCUGUUGAUUCUCUAUCGCUGCCCCCCGCUCCCCCCGGUCUCUCUCAAACUGAUGCAAACACGGUUAUGGCAUGGAUCUGGCAUGCCUCAAAUUUGAUUUCCUCAUCCAAACCAGUUUUUACUGUCAUGUCCUUCUAUCGUGUUGCGCUUCGAUCCAUCCAAAAUAGGUAUUUGUUUGUUAGAUUCAGAUUGGAUCCUGAAUCAUCUCACGUACAAUUUUCGGAUGGCUCAUGGAGAUCUCGCUUUCUCCCAUGCAAAGCAAAGUCAUGGUCUCUCAUAUAGUGAUCCAAACAAGUUAGGGCAUCGAUCUGGGGUGGUUAGGGAGCUUAUUGCCUGCAAUAUGUUUUCAUCCAAGAGCAGGUGUGAUUGGCAUCGCAACUUACAUCGGACAUACUGAAAAACCCAGGCAACUCAUGGGCUUUGGAAGAUUUGAGAGGUUGUUGUCCGAAUUAAGUUAGUAUACUGAAUGGAACUAAAUGAGGCAACUUACCAUGCUCGCUAAUAGUUAGAUCUCUAGGAAUAUACGGGGAUUAGAAAUUUAAUGUCACGCUAUGGGGUGAGAAGGUUUACCAAAUUGAUGUAGGUUCUUUGGGGCCUACUGUCAUAGUAAUAUUAACCGCAGCCAGAAAAUAUAAAGGUCUGUAUUUAUAUUAAUGGGAUGUAAGUAUUGCUAUGUGCAUAUUUAUUUAUACAGAAGUUAAUAUCAAGUGCAUGCAGAGUUGCGGACUACUCGCUGUCAUUUAUAGGAGCAACCCAAGUUUCCAAAUGAGGUGUAAUAGCUAUCCUGCAAUUAUAUAAAGAACUAUUUUUCUACCACACAAUACUUCUGUAAAUGCAGAAAGCAUGUAUUGCCCCAAGACGCCAUUCUGGAGGAAAUGGAGGAAGCCCACUUGCACAAUUCAAGGGCAAAUGCUCUAUAAAAGAAGAACACUACAAGAAAAAGCUGAAAUGACUUAAGAAUCAGAAAACUGAUAUUUCUUAUCAAUUUGUUUUACAUUCCUUUGUUACAUUUUAUUGUGUGCUAAAGUUAAAUACUAUAGACUCAAUAAU